UACGAAGGGUGCAAGCGUUUCUCGGAAUCAUUGGGCGUAAAGAGCGUGUAGGUGGCUGAGUAAGUCAGAUGUGAAAUCCCUGGGCUCAACCGAGGAAGUGCAUUUGAAACUACUCAGCUCGAGGACUGCAGAGGGAGGUGGAAUUCCUAGUGUAGAGGUGAAAUUCGUAGAUAUUAGGAGGAAUACCGGUGGCGAUGGCGGCCUCCUGGACCGUUCCUGACACUGAGACGCGAAAGCGUGGGGAUCAAACAGG
rnacentral:rRNA from 1 species